rnacentral:rRNA from 1 species
GGGGAAUAUUGCGCAAUGGGGGGAACCCUGACGCAGCAACGCCGCGUGAAGGAAGAAGGUCUUCGGAUUGUAAACUUCUUUGAUGAGGGACGAAUAAAGUGACGGUACCUCAAAAACAAGCCACGGCUAACUACGUGCCAGCAGCCGCGGUAAUACGUAGGUGGCGAGCGUUGUCCGGAAUUACUGGGUGUAAAGGGCGUGUAGGCGGGGAUGCAAGUCAGAUGUGAAAUACCGAGGCUUAACCUCGGGGCUGCAUCUGAAACUGUGUUUCUUGGGUGUCGGAGAGGAAAGCGGAAUUCCCAGUGUAGCGGUGAAAUGCGUAGAGAUUGGGAGGAACACCAGUGGCGAAGGCGGCUUUCUGGACGACAACUGACGCUGAGGCGCGAAAGCGUGGGGAGCAAAC